rnacentral:rRNA from 1 species
GAUGAACGCUGGCGGCGUGCCCAAUACAUGCAAGUCGAGCGAAUGGAUUAAGAGCUUGCUCUUAUGAAGUUAGCGGCGGACGGGUGAGUAACACGUGGGUAACCUGCCCAUAAGACUGGGAUAACUCCGGGAAACCGGGGCUAAUACCGGAUAACAUUUUGAACUGCAUGGUUCGAAAUUGAAAGGCGGCUUCGGCUGUUACUUAUGGAUGGACCCGCGUCGCAUUAGCUAGUUGGUGAGGUAACGGCUCACCAAGGCAACGAUGCGUAGCCGAGCUGAGAGGGUGACCGGCCCAACUGGGACUGAGACACGGCCCAGACUCCUCCGGGAGGCAGCAGUAGGGAAUCUUCCGCAAUGGACGAAAGUCAGACGGAGCAACGCCGCGUGAGUGAUGAAGGCUUUCGGGUCGUAAAACUCUGUUGUUAGGGAAGAACAAGUGCUAGUUGAAUAAGCUGGCACCUUGACGGUACCUAACCAGAAAGCCACGGCUACUACGUGCCAGCAGCCGCCGUAAGAC